UCUGCUGUAGCAAUACAGCAGAUCGGCGCACGGCGCACGGGUGCGUAACACGUGGGUAACCUGCCCUCCAAAGGGGGAUAACCCGCCGAAAGGCGGGCUAAUACCGCAUGACAUUCCGGUGGCUUCGGCCGCUGGAAUCAAAGCCCGCAAGGGCGUUGGAGGAGGGGCCCGCGGCCGAUUAGCUUGUUGGCGAGGUAACGGCUCACCAAGGCUUUGAUCGGUAGCCGGUCUGAGAGGAUGGCCGGCCACACUGGAACUGAGACACGGUCCAGACUCCUACGGGAGGCAGCAGUGGGGAAUCUUGCGCAAUGGGCGAAAGCCUGACGCAGCGACGCCGCGUGGGGGAUGAAGCUUCUCGGAGUGUAAACCCCUUUCGACCCGGACGAAGCACCCGCAAGGGUUUGACGGUACGGGUAUAAGAAGCCCCGGCUAACUACGUGCCAGCAGCCGCGGUAAGACGUAGGGGGCCAGCGUUGCUCGGAAUUACUGGGCGUAAAGGGUUCGUAGGCGGUGUGGUAAGUCGGAAGUGAAAUCUCUGGGCUUAACUCAGAGGCUGCUUUCGAAACUGCCGCGCUAGAGUGCGGGAGAGGCGAGUGGAAUUACAGGUGUAGCGGUGAAAUGCGUAGAUAUCUGUAGGAACACCCGUGGCGAAGGCGGCUCGCUGGACCGCAACUGACGCUGAGGAACGAAAGCUAGGGGAGCAAACAGGAUUAGAUACCCUGGUAGUCCUAGCCCUAAACCAUCAGGACUUGGGGUGGCCCGCGUUGGCGGGUCGUCCCGGAGCUAACGCGUUAAGUCCUGCGCCUGGGGAGUACGGUCGCAAGGCUGAAACUCAAAGGAACUGAC
rnacentral:rRNA from 1 species